rnacentral:rRNA from 1 species
GAACGUACGCUGGCGGCACGCCUAACACAUGCAAGUCGAACGAAGUAGCAAUACUUAGUGGCAGACGGGUGAGUAACAUGUGGGUAUCUGCCCUUUGGCCUGGAAUAACACGAGGAAACUUGUGCUAAUACCGGAUAAGCCUUUACGGAGAAAGCUUUAUGCACCAUUGGAUGAGCCCGCACUUGAUUAGUUUGUUGGUGGGGUAAUGGCCUACCAAGACUGUGAUCAAUAGCUGAUUUGAGAGGAUGAUCAGCCACAUUGGGACUGAGACACGGCCCAAACUCCUACGGGAGGCAGCAGUGGGGAAUCUUGCACAAUGGAGGAAACUCUGAUGCAGCGAUGCCGCGUGAGUGAAGAAGGCCUUUGGGUUGUAAAGCUCUUUCGUCGGGGAAGAAAAUGACUGUACCCGAAUAAGAAGGUCCGGCUAACUUCGUGCCAGCAGCCGCGGUAAUACGAAGGGACCUAGCGUAGUUCGGAAUUACUGGGCUUAAAGAGUUCGUAGGUGGUUGAAAAAGUUGGUGGUGAAAUCCCAGAGCUUAACUCUGGAACUGCCAUCAAAACUUUUCAGCUAGAGUAUGAUAGAGGAAAGCAGAAUUUCUAGUGUAGAGGUGAAAAUUCGUAGAUAUUAGAAAGAAUACCAAUUGCGAAGGCAGCUUUCUGGAUCAUUACUGACACUGAGGAACGAAAGCAUGGGUAGCGAAGAGGAUUAGAUACCCUCGUAGUCCAUGCCGUAAACGAUGUGUGUUAGACGUUGGAAAUUUAUUUUCAGUGUCGCAGCGAAAGCAAUAAACACACCGCCUGGGGAGUACGACCGCAAGGUUAAAACUCAAAUGAAUUGACGGGGACCCGCACAAGUAGUGGAGCAUGUGGUUUAAUUCGAAGAUACGCGCAGAACCUUACCAACACUUGACAUGUUCGUCGCGACUCUAAGAGAUUAGAGUUUUCGGUUCGGCCGGACGAAACACAGGUGCUGCAUGGCUGUCGUCAGCUCGUGUCGUGAGAUGUUGGGUUAAGUCCCGCAACGAGCGCAACCCUCACUUUUAGUUGCCAUCAUUAAGUUGGGCACUCUGAAAGAACUGCCAGUGAUAAGCUGGAGGAAGGUGGGGAUGACGUCAAGUCCUCAUGGCCCUUACGUGUUGGGCUACACACGUGCUACAAUGGUAUCUACAACAGGAAGCAAAACUGCGAAGUUAAGCAAAUCCCUAAAAGAUACCUCAGUUCGGAUUGCACUCUGCAACUCGAGUGCAUGAAGCUGGAAUUACUAGUAAUCGUGGAUCAGCGUGCCACGGUGAAUGCGUUCCCGGGUCUUGUACACACCGCCC